UCCCUGGUAGUAUAUCGGUUAGUACACGCGCCUGUCAUCAAUUCAACGAAUUUCUACCGCGCGAAAGCUGGGUUCGACUCCCAGCCAGGGAG